UAAUAUAUUUAAUAUGUAAUUAAAUAUGUGUCUAAAUAUUUUAGAAAAAGCGGUGAGUUUUUUGUGUAGUAAGUACUGUGAAGGAAAAAAUUUUUUUAAUCAAAAAGGUGUUUGUUUACCUUUUGUAUCAGGGUUUUUCAAUUAAAAAUUUAGAUAAAUAUUUCUCGAAAGAAUUUGAUUGAUUCAACUCAGAUAGUAUUUGUUUAAAAAAAUACUUUAAGGGUUGGUUAGUGAUGAUAUUUUAAUCAUAAAUUUGAUAUCUAGUUAUAAAGAUAACAUUUUAGAUGUUGCUCAUUUUAGUAUAAGUUUUAUUAUAAAUGAGUUUAUGUAUUUUGGGAUAAGCUAAAAUAUAUUUAAUAAGAGAUAUGAGUAGAGAUGUAGAGUUAUAGAAUUAGAUUAUUUUUGUUAUAAAAAUAUUAUUGUAGUUAAUUAAUUUUAAUUGUAAUAUAUUGAUAUUAAUAAAUAUAUUAAAAAAUGAUGAUAAGAUUAGUAUAAUAAAAUAUAUUUAUGUUAAUAACUUGGCAAAGUAUUUUAUCAACUGUUUACCAAAAACAUUUUUGUUUGAUUUUAUAAAUAGUAUAUUCUGCUCAGUGUGUUAGUAAAUUGCUGUGGUAAUUUGACCAUGCAAAGGUAUUGUAAUAAGAUCUUAAUUGGGUGCUAAGAGAAUGAAUGAAUGAUGAAAGUCUUUUUUAUAUAAAAUAUUGGAAUUUCAAUUAAAGAUAAAAAUUUCUUUAUAUUUGAGUGGGACGAAAAGACCCUAGAAUCUUUGAUAUCAUGAUUGAUAUUUUUGUUGGGGCGACAUGGAAAUAUUUAGAAACUUUACAAAUAAUUAUAUUUAAUAAGUAAUAAAUAAGAUACUCUAGGGAUAACAGCGUUAUUAUUUUGGAAAGUUCUUAUUGAUAAAAUAGUUUGCGACCUCGAUGUUGAAUUAAUGGAUCUACGUGGUGUAGAAGCUACGUGUGAGAGAUUGCUCAUCUCUUAAAUCAUUACAUGAUUUGAGUUCAGACCGGCGUGAGCCAGGUCAGUUUCUAUCUACUAAAUAACUAAUAUUAGUAUAGUACGAAAGGAAUUAUUAAUAAUAAUUUUUAU
rnacentral:rRNA from 1 species